GGGAGGUAUGCUGGACGUAUCAGAAGUGCGAAUGCUGACAUGAGUAACGAUAAUGGGAGUGAAAAACUCCCACGCCGGAAGACCAAGGGUUCCUAUCCCAUGUUAAUCAGGGUAGGGUAAGUCGACCCCUAAGGCGAGGCCGAAAGGCGUAGUCGAUGGGAAACGGAUUAAUAUUUCCGUACUUGGUAUAAUUGCGAUGGGGGGACGGAGAAGGCUAAGCAAGCAUGGCGAUGGUUGUCCAUGUGAAAGUGAGUAGGGCGUUUGUUUAGGUAAAUCCGGACGAACAUUAAACCUGAGACACGAGACGAGCUACUACGGUAGUGAAGUUGCUGAUGCCAUACUUCCAGGAAAAGCCUCUAAGCUUCAGAUUAUACCGAAUCGUACCCCAAACCGACACAGGUGGUCAGGUAGAGAAUACUAAGGCGCUUGAGAGAACUCGGGUGAAGGAACUAGGCAAAAUCGUACCGUAACUUCGGGAGAAGGUACGCUCCUAUCUGUGAUGAGACUUGCUCUCUAAGCGGACGGGAGCCGCAGUGACCAGGUGGCUGGGACUGUUUAUUAAAAACACAGCACUGUGCAAAAUCGCAAGAUGACGUAUACGGUGUGACACCUGCCCGGUGCCGGAAGGUUAAUUGAUGGGGUUAUCCUUAGGGAGAAGCUCUUGAUCGAAGCCCCGGUAAACGGCGGCCGUAACUAUAACGGUCCUAAGGUAGCGAAAUUCCUUGUCGGGUAAGUUCCGACCUGCACGAAUGGUGUAACCAUGGCCACGCUGUCUCCACCCGAGACUCAGUGAAAUUGAAAUCGCAGUGAAGAUGCUGUGUACCCGCGGCUAGACGGAAAGACCCCGUGAACCUUUACUACAGCUUGGCACUGAACAUUGAACCUACAUGUGUAGGAUAGGUGGGAGACUUUGAAGAUGAGACGCUAGUCUUGUUGGAGUCGUCCUUGAAAUACCACCCUUGUAGUUUUGAUGUUCUAACGUUGGCCCCUGAAUCGGGGUUACGGACAGUGCCUGGUGGGUAGUUUGACUGGGGCGGUCUCCUCCCAAAGAGUAACGGAGGAGCACGAAGGUUGGCUAAGUACGGUCGGACAUCGUACGGU
rnacentral:rRNA from 1 species